rnacentral:rRNA from 1 species
UACGUAGGGUGCAAGCGUUAAUCGGAAUUACUGGGCGUAAAGCGUGCGCAGGCGGUUGUGCAAGACAGAUGUGAAAUCCCCGGGCUUAACCUGGGAAUUGCAUUUGUGACUGCACGGCUAGAGUGUGUCAGAGGGGGGUAGAAUUCCACGUGUAGCAGUGAAAUGCGUAGAUAUGUGGAGGAAUACCGAUGGCGAAGGCAGCCUUCUGGGCCAACACUGACGCUCGAUGCACGAAAGCGUGGGGAGCAAACAGG